GACAGAGCUAACUGCAGAGCAAAAGGUGGGGCGCCGGGAUUCAAAGUUGCAAUCUUGGGGGCUGCUGGUGGAAUUGGUCAAUCUCUUUCUUUGCUGUUGAAGAUUAAUCCAUUGGUUUCAGUUCUUCAUCUUUAUGAUGUUGUCAACACUCCUGGUGUCACUGCUGAUGUUAGUCACAUUGACACCGGUGCUGUGGUAAUUUCUUUUUCAUCGACGUUUCUAUACAGUUCUAUUUAAGAUAUUGUUGAGUUUGAUCUAAAAUUGUGUCACAAAAUGUUUGGUUGUGUGUCACAUUGAUAUUUCUCGAGUUCCUAUGAACUUUGAAUGCGACUUUACUGAAGCAACAGAUCCCAACCGUCACUGUGUGAAUUGUUUUAACAAUGUUUUAGCUGUUAUUAUGUUUGAAUGAUGCAAUUGUAUUUGGGUUUUUAGGUUCGUGGCUUUCUAGGGCAGGCACAACUUGAGAAUGCAUUGACAGGCAUGGACUUGGUCGUUAUACCUGCUGGUGUGCCGAGGAAACCUGGAAUGACAAGGGAUGACUUAUUUAAGAUAAAUGCUGGAAUUGUGAGGACUCUU
rnacentral:lncRNA from 1 species